ACUUAGGAGGCUGAGGCGGGAGAACUGCUUGAGCCAGGACUUCAAGAUCAGUCCGGGCAAUAUAGUGAAUCCCCAUCUUUAC